rnacentral:sRNA from 1 species
UCAACGAGUUUUGGUUGUGUGUGCGUAUUAUAGUUAAAAACUAUAACACACAAACAACAACCCUUCAGCUGCACAAGAAAACCCUUCCGCUGCCAGACGAAGACGAAAACAAGUACUGGUUGCUCGCAAGAAUCAAAAUCAGUGGUUAGUGCAUUUCUGAUUUUGUGUUUGUUACUCGUUGCGAUAGUACUAACUGGUAAUUAUGUCACGCUUGGAACAAUGACCGAAGGCAUGGUAGAAUUAAGUGGUAAAGUCAUCAGCACAACAACAAAAUUUCUCCAUGCUUGUUUGUUAUAAAUAUAAAUGUCACAACCAUCUGCUCAUAAAAUCAAUAGAAUUUUGCAAAAUCAAUUACAUUUUACUAAAAGCUAUAAAAGUUGAAAGAAACAAAAUAUGCUGUCUGAAUGUUGUGUCCAGGCGAGAAACAUAAAAAAAGGUUUGCAGCGGCGGUCAUUUGCCCGCUAAAGGCUGGGCACAUUAAUGAUGUACUUGGAGAAUAAUGUUGUAAUAUUCCAAAAUCUUGACAAAAUUAUAUGUCAAAUUCAAAAAUUUCUCGGGCUAUCCGUUUUAGUAAUAAUGAUGUUUUUGCAGGACUUUGUUGUCAUUUAAUUGUGGCGCUAGCACCUCACGAAAUUGCCAGUCAAUCUGGAACCUCUAGAACAUGCCAAUGAGGGAGAUGAACAUCAAUGAGUGUAUGGUGCUAAUUUUGUUACAUUAGCUGUGACCACACUAGUCACAGGCAGCGUUACCGUUGGAUAUUUUCAAACUGUGGCACAAAAAAUGUCAUUUGUAAAAAAAAGUGGCAAUAUUUGUUUUUGAAGAGUGCCAAUUUUUUUUUGUUUUUAUUAAAAAAAAAACGAACAAGAACACAAGCGUACAAUAAUCCUUCUGAUUUUAACCUAAAUAACAUAAAAAACUUGUUUAAAUUGGUCCAAAAUUUGGCACAAAAUUUUUCAUAA